ensembl:lncRNA
AACAAGGCAAAUCAAAUACAAAGAAUAUCUUCCAUAUGAGGAAAAGUAGAAAGCCUCUUUAGCCCAGAGAAGAGAUGGCUGAAGAAAAGUGUGACAGGAUUAUGAAAUCAAGUUUGGCAGACAGAGUUUGACUUCAGUGUGGUUUCUCAUUGUCCCUUUGAUAUAAGAACCAUCAGUGCCCCAUAAAUUAGGAGGUAGUGACUACAAAACAAAAAGCAGUUGUUUUUUUUUUAAUAUGCACUAUGCAGUGUCAAACUGCUUAACAGAGGAUACAGUGGGUCAUUGAGGUUUAUGUGCAUUCAAAAAGAAGUUAAAUAUCAUUGUGGGAGAAAAAGAAAUCCACCCACACUGGUUAAAUAGAAGACCCUAUUUUUGCUUCCGAGGCCUCUGAGCUUCAUAUCAUCAAGUAUUCUGGGUGGUACUGCUACUGCAGUAGCUAUGCCCCCUUCUCGCACUGCCCACAAUAAUAGCUCUUGACCACUAUCAGAGAUAAGAUGGUGGGCAAUACAUACUUGGAGCUAAUUGCGAACAGUUGUUCUUGCUUUUCUUCAGUGCUCCAGGAUCAUGUGCAACGACUGAUCCUGACACAUCCUGCCCUGUAUCCAAAAAGUCAGCAUUAAAGAGUUGCAGUGGUGUACUGCUGACCCCACGUCUGCACUGCCACAUCAGGAUUCAGGUCACCUGCAUUGAUAGUCCUCUUUCAAAUGAUACUCUCAGCAGUGGCAGAGCUGUCUGCGGUGAUAACAGCUUGUCUGGGGAACAUAAAGCAGGAGACACUGUGCUGGACUGCAGGCGCUUCCUGGAGGGAAGGCAGGGACCCAGAGGCACCAUGUUUUGUCACAGCCAAUGGGGUUGUGUGGCACACACUGCACUGAGCGAGGACCAUCAGAGCCAGCACACUCCUGAGUUCUGCCCGCUGGAGCAGCUCAGAGCAAGGCAGGAUGCUUAAGCAAGGGUGAGGAGGGCUGCAGUGGCUCUGUCUGAUUUCUGUCACAUUUCCCAUCUUCACAUGGAAUUUGUCUGGGCAGCUGCUGUUCCCACAAGGGGAGUUCAAAUGAAUGACUGCUUUUCAUAUUACAUAAUGCAAUUCCAAAUACUCCAGUGCAGAUGUACUAUCCCUAUUCCAAGAAUAAAUUACCAAGUUGCUCUGUCUCAUUCUGGAGCAAUCCACCAGAGGCGAAACUGAAAACAAGAUUUUUUUGUAGUUGUACCGAAGCUUUGCAGUCAAUUUUAAGCCUCUUAGACAGCAUAAUAUUGAAUGCAAGAUCCUGCU